GACGAACGCUGGCGGCGUGCUUAACACAUGCAAGUCGAACGGUAAGGCCCCUUCGGGGGUACACGAGUGGCGAACGGGUGAGUAACACGUGGGUAAUCUGCCCUGCACUUCGGGAUAAGCCUGGGAAACUGGGUCUAAUACCGGAUAUGAGCUCCUGCCGCAUGGUGGGGGUUGGAAAGUUUUUCGGUGCAGGAUGAGCCCGCGGCCUAUCAGCUUGUUGGUGGGGUAAUGGCCUACCAAGGCGACGACGGGUAGCCGGCCUGAGAGGGUGAUCGGCCACACUGGGACUGAGACACGGCCCAGACUCCUACGGGAGGCAGCAGUGGGGAAUAUUGCACAAUGGGCGAAAGCCUGAUGCAGCGACGCCGCGUGGGGGAUGACGGUCUUCGGAUUGUAAACCCCUUUCAGUAGGGACGAAGCGCAAGUGACGGUACCUGCAGAAGAAGCACCGGCCAACUACGUG
rnacentral:rRNA from 1 species